rnacentral:misc_RNA from 1 species
UACGUAGGUGGCAAGCGUUGUUCGGAAUCACUGGGCGUAAAGAGCACGUAGGCGGACUUGUUAGUCAGGGGUGAAAUCCCGGGGCUCAACCCCGGAACUGCCUUUGAAACUGCAAGUCUUGAGUCCGAGAGAGGUGAGUGGAAUUCCUAGUGUAGAGGUGAAAUUCGUAGAUAUUAGGAAGAACGCCAGUGGCGAAGGCGGCUCACUGGCUCGGAACUGACGCUGAGGUGCGAAAGCGUGGGGAGCAAACAGG